UACGGGGGGGGUAAGCGUUGUUCGGAUUCAUUGGGCGUAAAGGGUGUGUAGGUGGCGCGCUAAGUCGGGUGUGAAAUUUCGGAGCUUAACUCCGAAACUGCAUUCGAUACUGGCGUGCUUGAGGACUGGAGAGGAGACUGGAAUUCAUGGUGUAGCAGUGAAAUGCGUAGAGAUCAUGAGGAAGACCAGUGGCGAAGGCGGGUCUCUGGACAGUUCCUGACACUGAGGCACGAAGGCCAGGGGAGCAAACGGG
rnacentral:rRNA from 1 species